GGAAUAUUGCGCAAUGGGCGAAAGCCUGACGCAGCGACGCCGCGUGCGGGAUGACGGCCUUCGGGUUGUAAACCGCUGUCGGGGGGGACGAACUCCACGCCGGUACCCCCAAAGGACGCACCGGCCAACUCUGUGCCAGCAGCCGCGGUAAGACAGAGGGUGCGAGCGUUGUUCGGAAUUACUGGGCGUAAAGGGCGCGUAGGCGGUUCGGUAAGUAGGGGGUGAAAUUCCACGGCUCAACCGUGGGACGGCCUUCUAGACUGCCGGACUUGAGCACGGUAGAGGCAGAUGGAAUUCCCGGUGUAGCGGUGGAAUGCGUAGAGAUCGGGAAGAACACCAGUGGCGAAGGCGGUCUGCUGGGCCGUUGCUGACGCUGAGGCGCGACAGCGUGGGGAGCAAAC
rnacentral:rRNA from 1 species